rnacentral:rRNA from 1 species
AUUGAACGCUGGCGGCAGGCCUAACACAUGCAAGUCGAGCGGAUGAAGGGAGCUUGCUCCUGGAUUCAGCGGCGGACGGGUGAGUAAUGCCUAGGAAUCUGCCUGGUAGUGGGGGAUAACGUCCGGAAACGGGCGCUAAUACCGCAUACGUCCUGAGCGAGAAAGUGGGGGAUCUUCGGACCUCACGCUAUCAGAUGAGCCUAGGUCGGAUUAGCUAGUUGGUGGGGUAAAGGCCUACCAAGGCGACGAUCCGUAACUGGUCUGAGAGGAUGAUCAGUCACACUGGAACUGAGACACGGUCCAGACUCCUAAGGGAGGCAGCAGUGGGGAAUAUUGGACAAUGGGCGAAAGCCUGAUCCAGCCAUGCCGCGUGUGUGAAGAAGGUCUUCGGAUUGUAAAGCACUUUAAGUUGGGAGGAAGGGCAGUAAGUUAAUACCUUGCUGUUUUGACGUUACCAACAGAAUAAGCACCGGCUAACUUCGUG